rnacentral:rRNA from 1 species
UACGAAGGGGGCUAGCGUUGCUCGGAAUUACUGGGCGUAAAGCGCACGUAGGCGGCUUUGUCAGUUAGAGGUGAAAGCCCGGGGCUCAACCCCGGAAUUGCCUUUAAGACUGCAUCGCUUGAAUCCAGGAGAGGUGAGUGGAAUUCCGAGUGUAGAGGUGAAAUUCGUAGAUAUUCGGAAGAACACCAGUGGCGAAGGCGGCUCACUGGACUGGUAUUGACGCUGAGGUGCGAAAGCGUGGGGAGCAAACAGG